CCCCGCUUGGCACGCGGUGUGGUUUGAAUCUGGAGCCGUUUUCACGGCUGGGAGCAAAAGCCGUAUGAACGUUAAGCCAAAGGCUUUGUUCUGCGAGACCCUUCAGACAAAACACGUGUGAAAGAUCUUGCUUUUACUGUCUGGAGGCUGAUUUACCAUAGAGGAAACCUAUAUCAUCAAUUGCUAACUGGGGAUUAUAAGAAGAGCUGCAAACAACUAGUGGAAGAAAAAAAGAAUCAAAUACACCAUAUAGAUGCAGAUCCUAUGGAGAAACUGAACCACUAAACAUGGAAUUCAGAAAUGCAGAUUUAAGGCUCAAGUGCUCAAUUUUAGAGCUGGUUCUCUUUAAUGUUUUCGUAAAUGACUUGGAUACAAGACUCAAAGGUAUACUACAUAGAUUAGCAGAUGAUAUUAAAUUGGUAGAAGACAUUUAUUCCCUUAAGGGAUGAGAAGCACUGUCGGGAGAUCAAACUGGAGAACUGGGCAAUCACCAACUGCAUGAAAUUUGACAAGAGCAAGUGCAAAGAACUCUGCACCUGGGACAGGACAACUGUUGUGUGAAAAAGGCAAAGAAGUUUGACAAAAAAUAAACCCUCUUGUGUUCCAGCUAGUCUUUGUCCUUUUCUAUUUUUUGCUUAUGAAAGGACAACAUCCUUCAUAUUUCUGAAUAUGUAUUUUCAUAUUUCAUAGGCAGAGCAUACUGACAUUUCUAUGCUGACACUUUUCUGUGCUCUUAAUUGGUUGAACUAAGCUCUC